rnacentral:rRNA from 1 species
CCUACGGGUGGCAGCAGUGAGGAAUAUUGGUCAAUGGACGCAAGUCUGAACCAGCCAUGCCGCGUGCAGGAAGACGGCUCUAUGAGUUGUAAACUGCUUUUGUACGAGAGUAAACGCAGACACGUGUAUCUGUUUGAAAGUAUCGUACGAAUAAGCAUCGGCUAACUCCGUGCCAGCAGCCGCGGUAAUACGGAGGAUUCAAGCGUUAUCCGGAUUUAUUGGGUUUAAAGGGUGCGUAGGCUGUCGGUUAAGUAAGAGGUGAAAGCACGAGGCUCAACGUCGGAAUUGCCUCUGAUACUGUUAGGCUUGAGAGUAGUUGCGGUAGGCGGAAUGUAUGGUGUAGCGGUGAAAUGCUUAGAGAUCAUACAGAACACCGAUUGCGAAGGCAGCUUACCAAGCUACUUCUGACGUUGAGGCACGAAAGCGUGGGGAGCAAACAGGAUUAGAUACCCCUGUAGUC